rnacentral:tRNA from 1 species
GCGUCCGUAGCUCAAUUGGAUAGAGCAUCAGGCUUCGGACCUGAGGGUUGGAGGUUCGAGUCCUCCCGGGCGUG